rnacentral:tRNA from 1 species
UAGGAAAUAAUAUAGAGGAAGUAUGGAGAGUUUUGAUCUCUUUCGCGUAGGUUCGAUUCCUACUUUUCUAAAUUUUGAUUUCUUAGGAAAUGAGAGGGCUGGUAUACCUCUAUGUUCACUUUAUCAUAGUGACCCUUUAACGUUCAGGCACAUUUCCUUAAGUAAGGAGGCAGGCCUGCGUAGCAGAUUGGUAUGCUAGUGUGUCAAAGGCAUAGUGCAAGUGUGAGUGGUAGAAAGUUUUUUCAUAAUAGGUGCAUAAGCUGGUCGUAGCGGAAUCGUGGAUAUGAGGCACGAAUUCAUAGGAAGCCUGAGGAGAGGAGUAAGACUUUUAUAGCUAGAGCUACGGGGAAUAAUUCUUGUGGGAGGUUGAGUGAGCUUGGGUUCAGGAAUAAGAUGGUAGUUAAUGUAUUUAUUAAUAUGAUGUUAGCAUAUUCAGCUAGAAAGAAUAGGGCGAAUGGUCCAGCGGCAUAUUCUACAUUGAAGCCAGAUACUAGUUCUGACUCUCCUUCUGUGAGGUCAAAUGGAGCACGGUUUGUUUCAGCUAGUGUUGAGAUAUAUCAUAUUAUUGCGAGGGGUCAUGAAGAGAAAAUGAGGUAUAAAGGUUCUUGGGU